CGUCCAACCUCCCCCCGGGGCAAGGGCCGGAGACCCGCGGAGCAUCCAACUGGAGCUGAAAUUCGCGAGACUGAGCCCGAGGCUGCUUCGGGGGGGCCCGGGGCGGGCGGGCUCGGCACCUGCCAAAGGUGUCUUGCCUGCUGGCAGAUUCACCUAGAGAAGGCGGCGAGGGCGCCCGGGAAGCGGGAGGCGGCUCCGCAGCUCGGCGGCUGAGCACUCCUGCUGGCCUCCCCGGCCCGCUCGAGUUCUGGGGGCGUUUGGUUCUUGCGCUCCCCAGCCCCGGGACGCCGGCCUGGCUGGCGGUUGGUCUGGCUGGCCAGACGCCCGCUCGGCGAGGGGCAGCACCAGCCUCGGGAGCGCGCGCUCUCCGGACCAGGUCUCCCCAAGCCCAUCACGGCAACCCGGUCUCCGCUCUGCUCGCCCUUCAGACUCCAGAUGCAGCAGACCUGUUGCAUGUAGAAAAGUGGCGGGGUUCGGCGUUCCAGGCUUUCCUUCCCGGCUUUGCCCACCACCAGAUCUGAGCCCACCCCAGGAGUCCCGGGACACAGCCUGUUCCGAAGGAGAAAAUGAGGGGAGUGCCAGGAGUCGCCUGGGUGGAUAAUCAUCCCAGGGCAAGGGGCUCUUUCUACACGCCGCGAUGGCCGCAGAUAAUUACACAGUUCCGGGAAGGGAAGGGAGAGGCUCAGGGGAUGACGCCCGGGAGGGACUCCGGUCAGCCGAAAAAGCACUUCUUUGGCAGACACGUCCUAGCCUCGCCCUUACCCCGGGCAAAGGGCUCCUGCUCUUCGGAUCCCCACCUCGGAGGCCAGGAGCCGGCAGCUGGAGGUCCCCGAGUCCCUCCACGGUAAAUCCGAGGCUCCAGCUUCAGCACCAGAGGCUGGACAGCGCCCGGACCCGCCGGCACCCCGACUCCGCUUGCCCUAAAUUCCUCAACCCCCACGCGGUGGAGGCCAGGAGGCAGAGUUCGCCGAGGGCGGGGUGGGGUGGGGGACACACUCAUCCUCCCCCUUUCUCCGGGAGCGUAGGUGUCGGAUUCUAGGAGGACACUCUAUCUCCCCUUCUCUAAGACCAAUAGGAAUAACUUGGUGCAAAGUGCCCGAGGGUGCCAGAGAGAAGAGGCGCGCCUGGAAAAGUCAAGGUUUAUGGUGAAGCAGCUACCUUUCAACCAUGGCAACACUUCCCACUCUCUCCCCCGACCUCUUCACUGAGAAAAACAUAUUUGUUCUUCAUGGAUGAAUGCCAGGAAGCCAGGGGAAUUGUCCAAAGGUGUCUCUGGUACAGAAAGCAUUUCUCCUUGGCUUGCCCGUGGUUCCUCCCUCCCUAAACAACAUCCAUCAUGAGAGGGGAACUGAAUUCUAGAUCACCUCCUCUUCAGACUUCUCCCCACAGACCACAUAGUGCAGUGACAACAAUCUGGGUGGAUGAAGAUGAUGACACUCCAGUUGAGUGUAGAAGCAGAUACAGCACUUCCCAAGAGGGUUUGUGGCAGUAAGCUGUAUGCCCAGCCUGGGACGGGAACCCAUGAUCCCAAGAUCAAGAGUUGCAUGCUCCACGGACUGAGCCAGCCAGGCGCCCCUCUAUUUGCAUCUUCACCCAACCGAGAAAGUGCCCAGAGUUAAAAAAAAAUUAAGAAAACUGGAGCUAUGUCCAUUUCUAUUGGUCCUGCCAGGAAAAAAUUAAUGAAAACGGAUCUAUUGUAGUCACACCCCAUGAUCAAACUCUGUCUCUGAAUUCUGCCUCUUUGCUAACGAGUUUCAUGAGCCCAUCUCUGCAGUAGGCACUGGAAUAUAAUAAUGAACAAAAAAAAGCCGUGUGCUCUCAUGGUGAGGGGCUAACAGCUAGAAGGCGUUGGGCCUCAGCCGGGCACUUCCCGUCUUCUCGAAGUCCCCACUCUGUGUCUCGCAGCAAGCACUGCCCCACUCUGGAUGAAGAUAACAAACCAAAGGUUGGAAAGCUGGGCUACAGAGAGAGAGUUCUCAAUCAAAAAGAGAAAGAAUUAAAAGCAGCACCAAUAGGGAAGGGUAAUUAUCCUUCAGCUGCUGCAGAAAUAAAAUUAGGGCCGUGCUCUGAGCCACCGGGAUAUUGUGGCUUUUGGCAAUUAAGAAGCAGAUAUGUCCUGCCAGUGCAAUUAAGGGCUGGGCUAGACAGGGGCAGCCUUGCCUCUCCUCCAUCAGUGACCUGGGCUGGGGAAGUGGGGAGCCAGGCACUGGGGCUCCAGGGAAGGGGACGCUGCGGGGGCUGAGAGGCCACUACUGGUUCCCUUAUUCAUCUCCUUUCUCUUCUGCUUGCUCCCGCACCCUCACCCCCAACUUCAUUCUGGACUCUGGCUCAGUAAACACUGGGAGGAUUUUCA